rnacentral:rRNA from 1 species
AUGAACGCUGGUGGCGUGUCUAAGGCAUGCAAGUCGAACGUGUUGUGCCGCAAGGUACGACAAGUGGCAAACGGGUGCGUAACACAUUGGUAACCUGCCUCCGACUCGGGUACAACCUGGAGAAAUCCGGGCUAAUCCCCGAUGAUCAUGAACCCACGAUGUGGGAUUAUGUAAAGGUGCAAAUCGGUCGGAGAGGGGCCUAUGGUCUAUCAGCUAGUUGGUGAGGUAAUGGCUCACCAAGGCUACGACGGAUAGCGGGCGUGAGAGCGCGACCCGCCUCACUGGGACUGAGACACUGCCCAGACUCCUACGGGAGGCUGCAGUCAAGAAUCUUCCCCAAUGGCCGAAAGGCUGAGGGAGCGACGCCGCGUGCAGGAAGAAGCUCUUCGGAGUGUAAACUGCUUUUUUGUGGGAAAAAUUAAUGAUUGUACCAUAAGAAUAAGGGGCUGCUAACUUCGU